ACGGAAGGCAGCAGUGGGGAAUAUUGCACGAUGGGGGAAACCCUGAUGCAGCGAUGCCGCGUGGAGGAAGAAGGUUUUCGGAUUGUAAACUCCUGUCUUAAGGGACGAUAAUGACGGUACCUUAGGAGGAAGCUCCGGCUAACUACGUGCCAGCAGCCGCGGUAAUACGUAGGGAGCGAGCGUUGUCCGGAAUUACUGGGUGUAAAGGGAGCGUAGGCGGGAUGGCAAGUCAGAUGUGAAAACUAUGGGCUCAACCCAUAGACUGCAUUUGAAACUGUUGUUCUUGAGUGAAGUAGAGGUAAGCGGAAUUCCUAGUGUAGCGGUGAAAUGCGUAGAUAUUAGGAGGAACAUCGGUGGCGAAGGCGGCUUACUGGGCUUUUACUGACGCUGAGGCUCGAAAGCGUGGGGAGCAAACAGGAUUAGAUACCCUGGUA
rnacentral:rRNA from 1 species